ACGAACGCUGGCGGCGUGCUUAACCCAUGCCAGUCGCACGGAAAGGCCCUGCUUUUGUGGGGUGCUCGAGUGGCGAACGGGUGAGUAACACGUGAGUAACCUGCCCUUGACUUUGGGAUAACUUCAGGAAACUGGGGCUAAUACCGGAUAGGAGCUCCUGCUGCAUGGUGGGGGUUGGAAAGUUUCGGCGGUUGGGGAUGGACUCGCGGCUUAUCAGCUUGUUGGUGGGGUAGUGGCUUACCAAGGCUUUGACGGGUAGCCGGCCUGAGAGGGUGACCGGCCACAUUGGGACUGAGAUACGGCCCAGACUCCUACGGGAGGCAGCAGUGGGGAAUAUUGCACAAUGGGCGGAAGCCUGAUGCAGCAACGCCGCGUGCGGGAUGACGGCCUUCGGGUUGUAAACCGCUUUCGCCUGUGACGAAGCGUGAGUGACGGUAAUGGGUAAAGAAGCGCCGGCUAACUACGUG
rnacentral:rRNA from 1 species